GAUGAACGCUGGCGGCGUGCCUAAUACAUGCAAGUCGAGCGAACGGACGAGAGUGCUUGCACUCUCUGACGUUAGCGGCGGACGGGUGAGUAACACGUGGGUAACCUACCUAUAAGACUGGGAUAACUUCGGGAAACCGGAGCUAAUACCGGAUAAUAUUUAGCUUCGCAUGAAGCAAUAGUGAAAGACGGUUCUGCUGUCACUUAUAGAUGGACCCGCGGUGUAUUAGCUGGUUGGUGAGGUAACGGCUCACCAAGGCAACGAUACAUAGCCGACCUGAGAGGGUGAUCGGCCACACUGGGACUGAGACACGGCCCAGACUCCUACGGGAGGCAGCAGUAGGGAAUCUUCCGCAACGGACGAAAGUCUGACGGAGCAAUGCCGCGUGAGUGAAGAAGGUUUUCGGAGCGUAAAACUCUGUUGUAAGGGAAGAACAAGUACGUUAGUAACUGAACGUACCUUGACGGUACCUUACCAGAAAGCCACGGCUAACUACGUG
rnacentral:rRNA from 1 species